GGGGAGGUAGCGCAGUGGGUUAAGCGCACAGGGUGCAAAGAGCAAGGACCCUCAUAGGAUCCCGGUUCAAAUCCGGGCUUCCCA
rnacentral:tRNA from 1 species